UACAGAGGGGGCAAGCGUUGUCCGGAUUUACUGGGCGUACAGCGCGCGCAGGCGGCCUCGUAUGUGACCGGUGACAUCCUCGGGCUCAACCCGAGGCGGCCCGGUUAGACAGCGGAGCUGGAGGCAGGGAGAGGGAUGUGGAAUACCCGGUGGAGCGGUGAAAUGCGUAGAGAUCGGGUGGAACACCAGCGGCGAAGGCGGCAUCCUGGCCCUGACCUGACGCUGAGGCGCGAUAGCGUGGGGAGCAAACGGG
rnacentral:rRNA from 1 species